ACGGGAGGCAGCAGUGAGGAAUAUUGGUCAAUGGAGGCAACUCUGAACCAGUCAUCUCGCGUGAAGGAAUACGGCCCUAUGGGUCUUAAACUUCUUUUAUAGGGGGAUAAAGUGAGCCACGUGUGGCUUUUUGUAGGUACCCUAUGAAUAAGCAUCGGCUAACUCCGUGCCAGCAGCCGCGGUAAUACGGAGGAUGCGAGCGUUAUCCGGAUUUAUUGGGUUUAAAGGGUGCGCAGGCGGCACGUUAAGUCAGCGGUGAAAUGUCGGGGCUCAACCCGGGCACUGCCGUUGAAACUGGCGAGCUUGAGUACGGAUGAAGUCGGCGGAAUGUGAUGUGUAGCGGUGAAAUGCUUAGAUAUGACGAAGAACUCCGAUCGCGAAGGCAGGUGUCCGGGGUGUAACUGACGCUGAGGCUCGAAAGUGCGGGUAUCAAACAGGAUUAGAUACCCUGGUA
rnacentral:rRNA from 1 species